AAAUGCGGGCGGCUCCUUCCUUUACUUGCAGGUGGCGCAAAUGCUGCAAUGAAGGGAGAGGAAGGGUUAUGGCGGGUGGAUUUAAAAUAACAAGCAGACGCAGUGAACCCGGUUCUGCGGCGAAUAACUAGAAAGGCGACGGCGGCAAGUUGUAGACAUUGUUUCUCAGUGGUGCAUUUUAUCCUAUAUCAUUGUAAGAGUUUCGCUCUUGUAUUUAUUGCUGAGUUCCGAACAGCUUUCUUCCCAAUGUCCUGCAUCCAUGCGCUUUUCUUUUAUUUUUUGUUUUGCAAACAUCUGCCAACUAACAAACGUAAACUACCACCAAGAGUCCUGACUACUUGACCGGUCUCUCCGCGACGUCCAAGUGCGCAGAAAUCGCGUCCUUCGGAAGGAAAGACGGAAGUUUGACAGUCCCUGCCCUGCUCACCAAGUAAGCCGCUCUCUGUGCCGUGAUCUCUGCUCCUGUGUACCAGGCAUCAUGGGAAAUCAGUCUGACUGUUCAGCUGGAAACCUGUGGCGGCCCUGAAGGGUCGUCAAGGGAACUAGCUACUCUGCCACAGUACUCUUCACACAAUCUCCUAAUCAACAUUGAUGAAUACUGAUUAGACAAGAACAUAAAAAUCUUUUAUGGAAAGGAUCUAACUGCCAAAUGUGCCCUCUUGUUCAUAGAUACCAUGGACUUGAUUCAUGCCCAUUUCCAUCAUAUUGCUACUGCUGAAUUUGACGAGCAUUAAUUAUUGUUCUUUAUCUAAUAUUCUUCAUAACUUGAGCUAUGAUUUUCCUUAUUGUGUUUAUUGAAUGGAAAGCAUUCUGUGUAUCACAUGCAAGCUAAUUAAUGUGUAAACACUGGACUAAUGAUCUGAUGAAGAUCAUCUGACUUAAAUGUAUUAUGAAAUUUGAGAGGGUGUAGGCAUUGUCAUUUUUUACAAAAGCAAAAACAACUUGUUUUAUUAUUUAAUUAUUUGAAAAUAUAUAAAUUUAUUUGAAUCAACAAGUAUUCUUGCUGUUCAAUAAUCAUCAUAGUAGUUUAAGUGAGCAAUGUAAUGGCUAAUUUUGUUCUAGCAUUUCAUCGAUCUUGUGAGCCACCAAGCUUUGUAGAAAAUUGUGCAAGAAACUGUUUAGAACUAUUUCAAAUAGACAUCAUGUGCAUUUAUUUUUCUUGCUAGUUGUUUCCUCAACCUACUGUCUGAUUGCUGUUUGAAAGCCUUUUUGCAAUCCAGCUACUUUUUAUGCUCUGUUGCAUAUUUAUCAUUGUUCAAGGCACCACUUGCAUGCGUUUCCAGUCCUCUAAUGGGAAUCUGUGCAAUGGACUCGUAAUGACAACAUAUUUACCUUGACUUUGACAUUGGGAAUCCUACCGCUAAAAAUAUUGAUAAAAAAUGAUCAUGGCCUAUUUAUAGAACAUGCAAAGACAAUAAGCCAUAGCUACACCUAAUAGAUUUUUUGAGAAGUCAUGAAUGGCAACACAAUAAAUAUGUGUGAACAUAUUCACUUUUAAGAGCAUGAAAAUUAUUAUAUUUUCACAUGUUUGUGACCGUGAAUUGUUCCCGAAGCAAUAAUGAUAAUUGAAUUUUUAAAUGGCUGCUGGGUGCAUUAUGCCGAACACCAUAACAGCUUUUCCGUGAGCGGGAAUUUUAAUGCAGCGUGUUUACUGAAAUAACACAUCAACGGUACUGUAUGUCAUGAUCAUGAUCUGGAAGAAUGACUCCAGUGGAAAUUAAAUUUCAAAGCACUUCAGAUAGAUGAAUUUGACAGUGGAACAAAACCUGUGUCUUCUGAAACGGCAGUAUUAUCAAGUCAAUGCUCACCUUCAUGCUGAUGAGGUUAAUCCUUUGACAGUGUCUGAAAGGGGAAAUUAAUCUGCUCCAUCUAUUCACUUAAUCUCACAGUUUGUCUUAGCAGUUAAUACAUCUGCAGCACACUGAGGGCUAAAUUGCUGCUAAUUAGUAGCACGCGAUCCGGUUGAAAAGUGAAGGAAAUAGCAGCGUUUUAAAUUUUACCCCAACUGCUGAGGCAUGAAACAAGUCAUGCGUUAGUCUUGGGGGUGCAUUGUGGGGAGAAGUGCUGAGCAUAGGAGAACACUGAAUACACAAACCCUGCCGGGAAUAUGCAAGAGAUUUUAAAUAUAUAUAUAUAGAUAGUAUCCUCCGUAACUCGCUAGCAUUUCCGUUUUCACCCGCAGUAAUGUCGUACCUCUUGGGGAGGGCAGUUGGUUUUCUCCAUAGCUGUGGCCUGCUCUCUGUUCAGUAUGAUUAAAUGUCAGAGAGGAGGCUUUUGCGUCUUGGCGAGAACAUGGUGCGAUUAAAAAGUUUUCCUGGACAUUUUUCCUGCUGCAAUUUCAAAGCGCAUAAUGUUUCAUUUUUAAUAUUGCAUCCGUUUCUCCCCACAGCAAGCCCACACACCCCGUUGGGAAUGCCACUGUUUUGUAGUCAUGACAGGCCCAGUGAGGUUCACCGGCUGGAGAUAUACAGUAGACUUCAAAAAAGGUGCGAAAAACUCUGCAUCUCUGCUGUCUUAAUACCAUCUUUUUUUAUCGCAAGGUUUUUCAUCUUGCCUGCUUUGAUGCUGGAAGGUUUAUCCAAGGAAAAAAAAAACAAGAAAACUACUUCACAAAUAUUAUUAAAAAAAUAAGGGAACCCCCCCCCCCCCAAUGCUCUUGGGUUUGAGGGCUACUGGGGGGAGGGUCAGGCAAGCACGCUGACAGCCCCAGCUGUGUGAAAGGAUUCAGUGAUCUUCUAAGAAGCUUGCGCUGAAACAUAAGUCCUGCAGUUUCAUUGCGGUCAACCCCUUGGGGCUAGCAGGUUCUUUCAGUUUUAGCCCGUAGGUUUUCUGUGAGAAAAGAAAAGAACAUCCCAGCUGAUAAUUCUUUCCACCGUACUGAUGACUUGAAUUUAUACUGUGAGUGCUCAUCUUUGAUUUAAGUUCCUUUUCCCUUUACUGUGAAGAGAAAGUAUUGGUUAUUCUCACAAGCUGAAAUUGAUGAUUUCAACUGGUAUUAUCGAAAGCUGUGUUUGGUAGGAAAUGCAAUUUUGUUUUGUGUUUGUAAAGGUUGCAUUAGCAGGUUGGGUAAAAACACUUAACAGUCCCAGAAAUUAGCUAUGUUUAUUAAAGCUAACAUUGUUGCCAUAGUAACCUUAUUCCAAGCUGUAGUGUACAGCACUCAUCAUAGAUUGAUAUGGCUUAGUACAUUUAAUUUUAAUUAACCUAUUUAUGUCUUAUUAUAGUGUU